UCCGUAGGCGGUUUUAUAAGUCAGUGGUGAAAUCCGGUAGCUCAACUAUCGAACGGCCAUUGAUACUGUAGAACUUGAAUUAUUGUGAAGUAACUAGAAUAUGUAGUGUAGCGGUGAAAUGCUUAGAUAUUACAUGGAAUACCAAUUGCGAAGGCAGGUUACUAACAAUACAUUGACGCUGAUGGACGAAAGCGUGGGGAGCGAACAGGAUUAGAUACCCUGGUAGUCCACGCCGUAAACGAUGGAUACUAGCUGUUCGGUAGCAAUACUGAGUGGCUAAGCGAAAGUGAUAAGUAUCCCACCUGGGGAGUACGAACGCAAGUUUGAA
rnacentral:rRNA from 1 species